rnacentral:lncRNA from 1 species
UGUUUGAAAUACUAGGAACCUAAAAACACACAGUAAUACUAGGUCAAGGCUUAAACAUCAGAUCAUCAAUCAAGAGUCAGUUUCCAAUCCAAUGGGAGAAUUACUCUAAACUCGUGGACCAACCUUUGGAACAAAAUUUCCAGAAAUUCCAGGAAACCUGAGAAAUGAUCUCAGUCGAUAGUAAAAUAGUUUCCAGAUUAAACUUACGAAGUCCAAAAUUUCUCUCAAUAUUAACGACUAAUAAAACAAAGAAAAAAA